rnacentral:lncRNA from 9 species
AUUUACAGUGUUCUGUCAAUUUCUGCUGUACGGCAAAGCGACCCAGUAAUAUAUAUAUAUACAUGCUUUUUCUCACAUUAUCCCCCAUCAUGUUCCAUCACAAGCAAUCGGAUAUAGUGGGACCGACUCUUACGUAGAAUGGUCAGGAAAGGCUCUUGGGUGACCUGCAGGAAGUAAGGGAGUGAGCCCUGCAGGUUUCUAGAGGGAGAGCACUCCACGGAAAGGGAAGAGCCAAGGAAGGAGCUGGCUCACAUGCAGCAAGAUGGCCAAGCAGCCAGUGUGAGCGGGAAGAUGUGUGGGACCUGAUCACGCAGCCUCUUGUUGGCCUCUUUGGGAUUUGAGCUCUUAUUCGGGGGAGCCACAGGAAAGCUUUAGGAAGAGGAGUGACAGGAUACGACAGAGAAAAAACUUGCUCUGUGGAAAGCAGACUGUAGGGGAUGAAAAGACAAGAAAGAGGGAGGUUAGUGAGGACCUUCUUACAGAGUCGAGGUGAGACACGAUGUGAUUUGGCCCUGGAUGGUAGCCAUGGACAUGGUGAAUUCUGGAAAUAUUUUGAAGGUAAAGCUCAUAAGAUUGGCUGAGAGGGAGUUCCUGUCGUGGCUCAGCAGUAACGAACCUGACUAGUAUUCAUGAGGACGUAGGUUCAAUCCCUGGCCCCGCUCAGGGGGUUAAGGACCCAGCAUUGCCAUGCCAGAUUAUCCAUGUGGUGUAGGCCACAGACUCGGCUCGGAUCAGCAUGGCUGUGGCUGUGGUGUAGGCCGACAGCUGCAGCUCCAAUUCUACCCCUCGUCUGGGAAUUUGUAGAUGCCAGCCACUGAAAGUGCAGAGUCUCUAUUUACUGCAACAGGAAAGGCAAGAAGAAGGGAAGAUGUCCAUGGCAAGAGGGCAGAUUGGACACACAAAACUACUUUGGUUCUCCCCACCUCUUGGAUGCUAAAACAAGAGUAAGGGGCUUUCUUUAAAUGUUGGAAGGUAUGAGCCCAGCAGGAUGGGGAGCAUGGGAGAGGAAACAACAGCAACAAAAUUUCAGGAGCUGGAAAAUAAAUGGACAAUUGAGGAAAAUGAUUCAGGAAAAAAAUAAUCUCCAAAGGAACUGGCCACAUCAGCUACCUCUGGAAGUUGGGGUGAAGGGCAGUUCAAAUAAAGAAGAUUCUUUGAGGAGCUGUUUUUAGAAGCUGUUGCCACAGACCAGACGCUUCUAGAUAGGGGACAUGGGAUGGUACUCCACUGGUGACAGGGAGAUUCAGGGAAUAUGAGCGGGCUGGAGGUCAAGACCCCAAUCCUCUCCCACUGCUCUGCUCUCAGGACACUGGCAGCCAGAAUUACACCCUCCAGGCAGACAGCUGGAAGAGCUUUCUCUGGGGGAACAUGAUGGACCAAGGAGAAAACCUACAGAAACCCUAGAGAUACCAAUGUUGGAAAUUUUCCAACUAAACAGCCCUGCUAGAUCACCCUUCAAAGAUGUCCAGAGCCUGUAACAACUACCCAUGUACUCACAGCUUUCAGCCUGCUCCUACUUUCCUAUUUUUAUAUGCACAGAUAACUGAAGUUUACUGGACAUCAAAAGAAUGCCUCUAACCUGAAAGAUAAAAAUAAACCAAACAAAAAAGACCAAACUGAAAAUAAGAGAGAAUGGCAAGGAAAAAAACAAUCUUAUCUUAAUAUCAUCAAAAAGGAAACAAAAGACAUAAGAAAUUAAAGUAGGACUCUCAUUUUUUUAAAAGAGCACAAAAUUAAAAGUUUUUAAAAACUAAAAAUGGGGAUUUGGGAUUUGCAUAUACACACCAUUGUAUAUGGAAUGGGUCAAUGGGGACCUGCUGUAUAGCACAGGGAACUCUACUCAAUAUUCUCUGAUAACCUAUAUGGGAAAAGAAUCUGAGAAAGAACAAGUAUAUGUAUAUGUAUAAUUGAAUCAAUUUGUUGUACUGAAGAAAUUAACACAACUUCAUAAAUUAACUUUACUUCAAUGAAAAAUUUUAAAGGCAAAAAAUAAAAAAUUUUAAAUUUAAAAAAAUUAAAAUAUGGUGACAAAUUAAAAAUCAAAACUUGGAAGAUAAGGUUUAUGUUUCCUAGAUGACAGAUAAGGAAAAUAGGGAAGAAAAAGAAAGAAAACCAGAGAACUUGUCCAAGAGUUCCAUUUUCAAAGAAUAACAGUUCCAGAAAGAAUAGGAAAAAAAGGGGGGGGUGGUGUUUGGGGGUGGUUCAUCAAUAAGAUAACUUAAGAAAAUUUCACAGACCCGAAGAACAGCUUUUGAGAUUUCAAGGACUCACAGAAGGUCCAGUGCAAUAAAUAAAAAUAGACCCAUGCCAAGGCACACUGUUCUGAAAUGGCACUAUUCUGGGAACUAAGAGAAGAUUCUCUGAGCUUCCAGACUGAAAAGAUAAGGAAUGAGGAGUUCCUGUAGUGGUGCAGCAGAAACAAAUCUGACUAGGAACCAUGAGGUUAUGGGUUCGAUCACUGGCCUCGCUCAGUGGGUUAAGGACCCGGCAUUGCUGUUAACUGUGGUGUAGGUCGCAGACUUGGCUUGGAUCCCACAUUGCUGUGGCUAUGGCGUAGGCUGGUAGCUGUAGCUCCAACUAGACCCCUAGCCUGGAAACCUCCAUAUGCUGCAGGUGCAGCCCUAAAAAGCAAAAAAAAAAAGGAAAAGAUAAGGAGUGAGAACAGCUUCUUUCUCCUUCCAGUAAUAUUAGAAGCCAGAAGGCAAUAGAGAAAAGUCUUCAAAUUUUCUGGAGGAAAAUAAUUUCCAACCUGGAAUUCUAUACCUAGACUAACAGCCAAUCAAGGAUGAGACAUUUUCAGUUGUACAAAGUCUCAAAAACUUCAUCCCAUAUAUCUUUUCUCAGGAUUGACUAGAGGAUGUGUUCCACCAAAACAAAGAAAUAAACCAAAAGAGAGGAAGACACAAUAUGCAGGAAGGUGAGAGAGACAGAGAAGUCCUCUAGGCUGAUAGCAGUGGAUCCCAAAAUGACACCUGUGCACCAACUAUCCAAAGCAACCCAUCCAACCUAAGGCAGAUCAAAAGGCCUUAGGAGACUUUGUUGGGAUGAUGAAAUUGAUAGAAAACCUGAUGCAUCCAGAUGUCUUGAGGGGAGAUUCACACUAUUGGCCAAGAGUUUUGGGUUUGUUUAGUUAUAAGUAUAAGCAAACAAAGAUACAUUUUAUUUCAUGUCAUUUUAUUUUAUUUUUGUCUUUUUAGGGCUGCACUUGCAGCAUAUGGAAGUUCCUAGGCUAAGAGUUGAAUUGCAGCUGCAACCACCAGCCUACACCACAGCCACAGCAAUGCCAGAUCCAAGUCACAUCUGAGACCUACACCACAGCUUACAGCAACACCAGAUCCUUAACCCACUAAGUGAGGUCAGGGAUUGAACUCAUGUCCUCACGGAUCCUAGUCAGGUUCGCUACCACUGAGCCAUGAUGGGAAGUCCCAAAGAACUUUUUGUAAAAGGCAAUUGGGGAAAAUAAAAACUUGCACAGAAAAGGAAAUAUUCCUAGCAUUACUGGGAAGAUAGGGGAAUGGGAAGAGUGAGGUAAGGAUGGCGAAGAGAGCAAAGAGAGUUAAUCCUCAUCUUCCUUAGUGUAAAGUCAAAUAGCUAGCGUUCUACUUCUGGCAUGGCAAUGUGAAGAGUUCUGCAGACUUGCUCCCCAGUGAAACUGCUGAAAAUUAUUUUAAGUCUCUGGAACCAUUUAAAGACUCUGGAAAUGGUUCUAAGGGCAUAUAGCAAAUGAAGAAACACUUAUUCAAGAAAACCUAAUCAAACUCCAUAAAAACAGCAAGAAGCUAUGGUAUUUGAACUAUAAUUUACUUCCCCUCUAUCCUCUCCCAGCUCAGCAUUAUGGAAACUCCACUCCAGAUGAAUGCAGCAAUUAGCUGUAUUCUCUCUCUCCUCCUCACCCCAAGUUGGAGGCCUGCAGUAUCUUAGGAAGGGCAAGAUAUCAGUAUUUCUCUUCCUACCUCAGAUUACUUUUGAAAAGGCUAUGUUCCAGGUAAAUACAGCUCAGAGCUGGGGACUCCCUUCUUCUUCCCGGCCUCAUCAGUGGAAUGCAGGAUCUACCUUAGUAGUGGCAUGCUGAGAAAUACUUGGACCCCAAUCACCCUCAUCCUGGCUCAUUCAUAAAGCAGAUGUUCCAUGCUAGGAGAGGCAGGCUGAGAAGAUCAAAGGCUACAGCCACCCCACACUCCACCAAGUGCCCAACUCCUAAGGCAGGAUGUCAACCAGAGAGAAGAAUUCCAUUGUCCCACCCCCAGCUCCAGAGCCUUUGCUUGGAGAUUUUACACAACUAAGAGGAGACCGGUACAUUCAUUUGAGACACAAAAUAAACCAUAAACUGACUAGUUUACCAGAAAUAAUCAGUGAAGGAGACAGAUAAGAGCACUUCUGGGAUCAGAAUCAAACAAUAACCUCAAAAACUAUACCCACAAAGGAGGCCAAAUUGCUCCACUAUUUUAAAAAUCAAAUUCAAAAAAAAAAAAAAAGGGACAUGCAAAGACAUAAGAAAGUUUGAUCCACACAUGAAAAAAACAGCAAGCAACAGAAACUGCCUAUGAGGGUGACCGGAUGUCAGAUUUAAUAAAGAACUCAAUGUAGCUACUGUAAAUAUGAUCAAAGAGCUAAAAAUCAUUCUUAAAAAAGUAAAGAGAGGUUUGAUAACAUCUCAUGAAUAGAGAAGAUAAAGAAAUAGAAGGGGGGUUAUUAAUGGAAAUUUUGGAGCUGAAAGGUACAGUAACUGAAAUGAAAAAUUCACUAGACAGCCUCAACAGUAAAUAUGAACUGGCAGAAUAAAAAAUUAACAAACCUGAAGACAGAUUGUUAGGGAUUGUGGAAUCCAAAGAACAGACAAGAAAAGAGAAUGAAAGAAAACAAAGAGCCUCAGAGAUGUGAAGAACACUCUUAAGUGAAUCAAUGUAUGUAUAAGGGGAGUAUCAGAAGGAAAGGAGACAAACAGAUGAGCAGAAAGAAAUAAUGGCUGAAAACUUCUCAAAUUUGUUGAAAAACUUUAAUCUACAGAUUUAAGAUGCUCAAAAAAAAUCUAAGUAGGAUAAGUGCCAAGUAGCAAAAAUGCUGAAAGCCAAAUACAUGGAGAAAAUCUUCAAAACAGCAAGAGAAAAAUGAAGCGUCACUUACAAGGGAAUCCAACUAGCAGCUGACUUCUCAUCAGACACAAUAGGGACCAGAAGGCACUGGGAUAACGUAUUCAAAGUGCUUAAAGGGGGAAAAAACUGCCAACCAAGAAUCCCAUACCCAGAAAAACUAUCUUUCAAAAAAGGAAGCAGAAAUAAAGAUGUUCCCAGUGUUACUCCAAUUCCAAAACCAGAUAAACACGCCACAUAAAAAGAACAGUACAGACCAAUAGCUCUUAUGCAUACAGAUUCAAAAUUCUAUAGAAAAUGCUAGCAAACAAAAUCCUGCAAUGUAUAAAAAGAAGUAUACAUCACAACCAAGUGGGAUUUAUCUCAGGAAUGCAAUGCCAGUACAACAUCUGAAAAUCAAUUAAUGUACUAUAUUAUAUCAAUAGAAUUUUUAAAAACUGCAUGAUCAUCUAGAUUUAGAGAGUUUUAUACUAAGUGAAAUAAGUCAAAGACAAAUACUGUAUAUCACUUAUAUGUAUAAUCUAAAAAAAUAAAAUAAAAUAGUGAAUAUAACAAAAAAGAAACAUACUCACAGGUAUAUAGAAAUUGGAGUUCCCACUGUGGUGCAGUGGGUUAAGGAUCCAGCAUUAUUUCUGCAUUGGUUUGGUUCACUGCUGAGACACAGGUUUGAUCCCAGGCCUAGAACUUCCAUAUGCUAUAGAUGCAGCCAAAAAAUAAGAAAAAUAGAUAAAUUGGACUUCUAUUAAAAAUUUUCGUACUUCAGAGUUUCCAUUGUGGCUCAGUGGGUUAAGAACCCAACACAGUGUCCAUGAAGAUGCAGAUUCCAUCCCUGGCCUCGCUCAAUGGGUUAAGAAACCAGCAUUGCUGCAAGCUGUGUCACAGAUCACAGAUGCAUCUUGGAUCUAGCAUUGCUGUGGCUGUGGCACAGGACUGCAGCUGUAGCUCCAGUUCCACCCCUAGCCCAAGAACUUCCAUACGUUGCAAGUGCAGCCAUAAAAAGAAAAAAAAAGUGAAGAAACUCACAGAAUGGGAGAAAAAUCUUUGUAAACUAUACAACUGAUAAGGGACUUGUAUCUAGAAUAUAUAAAGAACUUACACCUCAAUAUUAAAAAACCAAGUAAUCCAAAUUAAAAUUGGGCAAAGGAUCUGAACAGAUAUUUCUCCAUAUUUUGUAAAAAAGUACAAAAUUAUAAUCAACAAAAUUAGCAAUCAUGGCAAUGCAAAUGGAAACUACAAUGUGAUAGCCUUUUUAACCUGGCUAUAAUCAAAGAGUCAGAUAAUAACAAAUGUUGACAAAGAUAUGGAAAAUGGAAAUCUCACACAUUACUAGUGGGAAUGUAAAAUGGUGCCACCUUGCUGUGGAAAACAGUCUUGCUG